rnacentral:rRNA from 1 species
CCUACGGGUGGCAGCAGUGGGGAAUAUUGGACAAUGGGCGAAAGCCUGAUCCAGCCAUGCCGCGUGUGUGAAGAAGGCCUUCGGGUUGUAAAGCACUUUCAGUGGGGAAGAAAGCCUUGGGGCUAAUACCCUCGAGGAAGGACAUCACCCACAGAAGAAGCACCGGCUAACUCCGUGCCAGCAGCCGCGGUAAUACGGAGGGUGCGAGCGUUAAUCGGAAUUACUGGGCGUAAAGCGCGCGUAGGCGGUCUGAUAAGCCGGUUGUGAAAGCCCCGGGCUCAACCUGGGAACGGCAUCCGGAACUGUCAGGCUAGAGUGCAGGAGAGGAGGGUAGAAUUCCCGGUGUAGCGGUGAAAUGCGUAGAGAUCGGGAGGAAUACCAGUGGCGAAGGCGGCCUUCUGGACUGACACUGACGCUGAGGUGCGAAAGCGUGGGUAGCAAACAGGAUUAGAUACCCUUGUAGUC